GGCGGCCCGCCCCUCUUCCUCCUCCUCCUCCUCCUCCUCCUCCCGCCUCCGCAGCAAUGGCGCCCUGCUUCCCUUGCGGGCCCAGGCUUCCUCCGGGGUCCCCUCGGCUGUGGCCUUUGGCUCCCCAGCCCCUCAGACUGUCCCCUCACAGCCUACCGCAGCCCUCUCCCCGGCACCGGCCUCCAGAGCCUGCGUCUCAGCACCCAGCCCCCGCCCGAGCAUCUCUGGCCGCGGCGGUGGUGCAGGUGGUAGAUGGUCUGUGCGGCUCCAGCGCUGCCUGGUUCUCCUCCGACCAGCUGCUGUGCUUUUCUCCACGACGUUGAGGUCCCUCCGUCUCCGCUGAUGUCCCGUCGGUCAGGUGGCCUCCCAGAAUGUGGGUUCCCUUUCGCUUUCACGGCUGCCUCUCCCAGUGCUAGUCCCCUCCUGAUUCCUUUUUGUCCUCUCUCUCUUUUCUUUUGUUUUACCCGGUUAUGUGGCGCGUUUCUUGCCCAUUUUGGAGGUUGACGUUCUUCUGCCCGCGUUCAGGAGAUGGUCUGUGCGGGUCGUUCUACCUGUAGGUGUGUUUUUUGAUGCGUUUGUGGGAGCAGUGUUUUGCUGGGACCAAAGGAUUUGGGCACAGACUGACCUCUACCCUUCUCUGGAAAGCUUCCUGGUCUCCAGCCCUUUCCCGUCAUCACGGAUGAGUCAAGAGGAAGAUGCUCAGGUUUUACAAAAAUGCAGCAAGGUGACUCAGCUGAGGUCGGCAUUCACCAUGUGGAGAACUGGGGACAUUGCUCUUCUGCAGAAGGUCUGUUCACAGGAAGACACUCUCGCCCAGGAGAUGAACUUGAAGUAGAAUGAAGACCUUGGCAUUCCCGUCAUGGCGCAGUGGUUAAUGAAUCUGAAUAGGAACCAUGAGGCUGCAGGUUCGAUCCCUGGCCUUGCUCAGUGGGUUAAGGAUCCAGCAUUGCCGUGAGCUGUGGUGUAGGUCGCAGAUGCGGUUUGGGUCCCACGUUGCUGUGGCUGUGGUGUAGGCUGGUGGCUACAGCUCCGAUGGGACCCCUAGCCUGGGAACCUCCAUGUGCCGCAGGAAGCGGCCCUAGAAAAGGCCAAAAGACAAAACAGAAAAAAAGAGAAGACCUUAACGCUGGCUAGUGCUGAGAUCUUUGGCAAUUUCCUGCAUUGGCGCCCCAGGUUCUUGCUUUUUAAAAUGAAAUAAUAACUGUGUUGCAUUAGUUAAGAUACAAGGCAUGGCAAGCUCAGACCACAGCGCUUUGCCCAGAUUAGGGUUGCAUCUAGUAAUGCUCUCUUCCCUACAAAGUUAACACCACGCUAAUUACGUUACUGUUGACCAUGUUCUUGAUGCCAUUACAUCCUGUGGUUUAUUAUAUAACCGAAGCUUUGAACUUCUUAAUUCCCUUCCCUUCCUUCACCUCCUCCACCUUCCUUCUGGCAGCCACCUGUUUAUUCUCUGGUUUUCUGAGUCUGGGUUUUCAUUUGUUUUGUUCUUCGGAUUCCACUUGUUCCAUGUAAGUGAGAUCAUAUGAUAGUUGUUUUUCUCGGACUUAUUUCACUUAGCAGAACCACUCUAGAUCCACGCAUGUGGGCACAAAUGGCAAGAUUUCAUUUUUCUAUGGCCGAGUAAAAUGCCCUUAUAUGUAUGCAUAUAUCAGAUCUUUGUCUAUUUGUCACUUCAUGGACUCUCUGGUCGCUUCUAUACCUUGGCUAUUGUGAAUAGUUCUGCUCUGAACCUUGGGGUGUGUGUAUUUUUUUGCAUUACAGUUUUCAUUUUUAGGGAGAUAGACACCUAGGAGUGGACUUGCUGGAGUAUAUGGUAGUUCUAGUUUUAGAUUUCUGAGAAAUAUCCGUACUGUUUUCCACAGUGGCCGCCCCAACGCACAUUCCCACCAAUAGCGUACGAGGGUUCCCUUUGCUUCACAUCCUCGCCAGCACUGCGCAGUCGUGGUCUUUUUCACGAUCACCAUACUGACUCGAGGGAGGAGAUAUUUCAUGUUGGUUUUAACUUUCAUGUCUUUGAUGAUCAGUGGUAUUGAGUGUCUUUUCAUGUCUGCUUUGGGAAAAUGUCUAUUCAUUUCUUCUGCCCAUUUUUUAAAUCAGCUGUUUUUUUUUUUUUUUUGCUGUUGAGGAAUAUGAGCCAUUUAUAUAUUUUGGGUAUUAAACCUCUUGUUGGUCAUAUCAUUUGCAAAUACUUUCUCCUAUUCAGUAGAUUGUCUUUUUUUUUGGCAAUGGUUUCUUUUGCUGUGCAAAAGCCUUUAAAUUUAAUUAGGUUCCUUUUGUUUAUUUUUGCUUUUAUUUCCUUUGUUUUAGGAGGUAUAUCGAAAAAACAUUGCUAUGAUUUAUGUCAAAGAGUGUUCAGUCUUUAUUUUAUUUUAGGAGUUUCAUGGUUCCUGGCCUUAUAUUUGGACCUUUAAUCAAUCAAUUAAAAAAUUUUUUUUAAAUUGUAGUUGAUUUACAAUAUUCUGUUAAUUUCUGCUGUAUAGCAAAUUGACCCAGGCAUACAUAUGUAUACAUUAUUUUUCUCAUAUUGUCUUCUAUCACAAAUGAUUUGAUAUAGUUUCCUAUGCUGUACAGUAGGGCCUUAUUGUCUAUCCAUCUUAAAUGUAAUGGUUUGCAUCUACUAACCCCAAACUCCCCAUCCCUCCCACUCCCUUCACCUCCCUCUUGGCAACCAUGAGUCUGUUCUCCAUGUCUGUGAGUCUGUUUCUGUUCUGUAGAUACAGAAUAUCUGUGCCAUAUUUUAGAUUCCACAUAUAAGUGAUAUCAUGUGGUAUUUGUCUUUCUCUUUCUGACUUACUUAGUAUGAGAAUCUCUAGUUGUAUCCAUGUUGCUGCAAAAGGCAUUAUUUGUUCUUUUUAAUGGAUGAAUAGUAUUCCAUUGUGUGUAUAUUACCACAUCCUCUUAAUCCAUUCGUCUGUUAAUGGACAUUUAGGUUGUUCCCAUGUCUUGGCUAUUGUGAAUAGUGCUGCAAUGAACAUAGGGGUGCAUGUAUCUUUUUGAAUGAAAGUUUUGUCCAGAUGUAUGCCCAGGAGGGGGAUUUCUGGAUCACAUGGUAGUUCUAUAUUUAGUUUUCUGAGGAACCUCCAUACUGUUUUCCAUAGUGGCUAUACCAGUUUACAUCCCCACCAACAGUAUAGGAGGGUUCCCUUUUCUCCACACCCUUUCCAGCCUUUGUUAUUUAUAGACUUAUUAAUGAUGGCCAUUCUGACUGGUACGAGGUGGUAUCUUAUUGUAGUUUUUAUUUGCAUUUCUCUGAUAAUUAGUGAUGUUGAGCAUUUUUCAUGUGCCUGUUGGCCAUUUAAUCUAUUUUGAGUUUCUUUUUUAUUGUAUAUGGUGUUAGAGAAUGCUUUAACUUCAUUCUUUUACAUGCAGCUGUCCAUUUCCCCUACUACCAUUUACUGAAGAGACUGUCCAUUGUAUAUUCUUGCAUUUUUUUCAUAGAUUAAAUUAACCAUAAAUGCAUGGAUUUAUUUCUGGGCUCUUUAUUCGAUUUCAUUCAUCUGUGUGUCUGCUUUCAGGACAGUACCAUACUGUUUUGAUUACUGUAGCUUUGUAGCAUAGUCUGAAGUCAGGAAGCAUGAGUUCUCCGGGUUUGUAGUUCUUUCUCAAGAUUGUCUUGACUAUUCAGGGUCUUUUGUGUUUCCAUGCAAAUUUUUAAACUACUCAUUCUAGUUCUGUGAAAAAUGCCAUGGACAUUUUGAUAGGGAUUGCCUUGAACCUAUAGAUUGCCACAUGUAAUGUGGCCAUUAUAACCAUAUUAAUUUUUCCAGUUCAUGAACAUGGUAUAUCUUUCUAUCUGUUUGUGUCAUCUUCAACAUCUUGCCUCGUAUAUGGAAGACAUGCAAUAAAUGUUUAUUGAAUGGAUGAAUUAAUCCAACAGGAGGUCAGUAACAGGUAUUUACUGUUGACUAAUUCCUAGAUCUACCUGAAAUCUACCUAAAUCCUCCUGAAAAUGGAUAUCUUCCCAUUGUGAUUGGGACCUCAGCCAUCAGUGUUCUCCCUCUCUUCCUCCUCUUCCUCCUCCUCUGCCAUUGCUGGUGUCGAGCCAAACACAGUAGGUCCUGGAUGGGGGGAAGAGGUAACCUGGGAAGAGUGCGGGGGAGGGGCUCAACAGAUUCCCCUACCAGGACUCUGAUCACUGACUCCCUGUAGGGGCCACGGAUGAUGAGACCAAGAGCCAAGUGCAGUAUGACAGCUCCGGCCCAGGCUUGAACUUUGCAGAAGACAAUCAAUCUAAGAGGAGUGAGAAGGAGGGGCAACCGGGGUAGGGAAAGAUGUGUUCAGGAGAAGAUAGACGGCCUCCCGGAAGGAGCAGAGACGUGGCACACACCUCACUGGGUGGUGUCUCAGUGGAUAUCGCCUCUGAGGGGGACAGACAGAUGGACAUGGAGGCCCUCCCAGAGGAAGACCCACAGGACGUGAUCUCUGUUCAGCAACACUGAGAUUCCCUGAUGGGGAGUGUGGAUUCAGAGUUCUCCUGCACCCUUGAGGAAUCCUUGUGAUAGCCCUGUGUGUAUAUCACCCUCCCCUGGUCUUGAGUGCAGAGCCAGAACUGGCCAUGUGGACUCCAGCGCUUAAGGGCCCCUUAAGGAAGAUGCGGCGUCCCACUCGUGUCCCCCACAGCAGCAGCAUCUUGGAGCUCCCCAAAGACUCAAGAAUAGAGAAGCCUUGUCACCUGUCAAGAAAUUCUGGGAUGCAUCGCAUCCCUCAACCGAUUCCUGGUUCCUUCUGUUUUUAUCCCCUCAUUUGCUUAUUUAACAGAUAUUCGCAGAAGUUGACUCUUCCUUUGCACCUGUGCUGAGGAGGGACAGAUCAGUAGGACACAGCUCCUGGUCUUAAGGAGUGCCUGGCCUCCUGAGAGAGGCAAACCUUAUGAUCGCUUGGGCCCUUAGAAAGCAAAGAGGGGGUGAGCUACUGGAGCAGGGGAAGGAUGAUGUGGGCGACACAGGAAUACUCAUCCGGGUGCAUUUAAGGAGGACCCACAGGUACCCAACGCAAGGAGAAGUCAAGAAGACAUAGGAGUCAAACUGGGCGGGAGGGAGUUCCUGGUGGCAUUUUGCUCCAAUGCUCUAGGUUUUGUGUGAGCUGAAGCCUUCAGAGCAGCAAAAGGCGAACAAGAAAGAUUCUUUGUAAAGGAACCAAAUUGCAACUAUUUGACCGGAAGAAGGAUUUCUCUUGGGGAGGGGAAUGGUGCAGAGGGUGUUUGGGGGGGGGUAUGGUUUCCCUCUAGUUUUGGUGAAUUUCACUUUUUAGUUAUGCAAUGAAAAGAAAUAGAAUACAAUAUAACGAGAUGGGAGUGGCAGGAGAGGAAUUGGAGUUGGUAUUAAAGUAGAUGCGAAUGAUUACAUUUGAGAUGGAUGAGCAGUGAGGUCCUACAGUACAGCACAGGGGACUCUGUCCAGUCUCUUGGGAGAGACUAUGAUGGAAGAUAAUAGGAGAAAAAGAAUUUGUGUGACUGGGGCACUCUGCUGCACAGCAGAAAUUGGCACAACACUGUAAUAAAAAACCAAAAAAAAUACAAAAAAAUUCAGUUCAGUUUUGGCACCAGGACGUAGAGAAGAAAGUUAAUGGCAGGGCCAGUGAAAUACAGCACAGUGGUUUGGAGUGGAGAGUAGGAGUAAGAGAGGGAAAUCGAGCAUGCGUGUUGAUUGAUGGAAAGAAAUAUGGGGAGCGCAUAAUGUGGAUGAUAUUGGGGAGUGACCAUCAGUGGGACAGGGUAGCAUUGAGAGCCCCGACUCGGGAAUAGAUGGGUUAACCUGGGUUCAGAUUUCUCCUUCUGUACCCACUUGCUGCACGGUCACGCACACACUUCAAAAUGAUUCUCUGAGCCAGAAGGACACUUGUCAUUGAUGGAGGAGGAAAUCCAAGCUCAUGCGAGCACGGGCUAAGAUGCAAUCUUUUCGGAAUUAGAGAAAUAAAGAUUCCAACAACGACAUGCCGUUGCUUCCCUUCCAUCUGCUAUGAUGGAAUUGCGGCCACCUCCAAACUCCUAUGUCAAAUGUCGCAACCCCCAGGACCUCAGAAUGGGGCCUUCUUUGGAAAUGAGGUCAUCGCAAGUGUGCUUACCCAGGAUGAAGACAUACUGGAGCAGGACGGCUUCUCACCCAGCAUGACUUGUGUCCUUAUUUAAAAACAAGGAAACGAUGGAGUUCCUGUUGUGGUGCAGCGGAAAUGAAUCUGACCGGAACCAUGAGGUUGCAGGUUCCAUCACUGUGUCCUCGCUCCGUGGGUUAAGGAUCUGGUGUUGCCGUGAGCCGUGGUGCAGGUCGGAGACGUGGCUUGGAUCCCGCGUUGCCGUGGCUAUGGCGUAGGCUGGCGGGGGCAGCUCUGAUUCUACCCCUAGCCUAGGAACCUCCAUAUGCCGCGGGGGAGGCCCUAAAAAGAAAAAAAAAAAUGUAAAAAAAGGAAAUUGUGACACAGACAUGCACAGAGGGACAGCACGGUGUGAACCUGAAGGUGGAGAUUGGAGUGGUGUAUCCAUGAGCCAAGGAGCCCCAAAGCCUGCCAGCCAGCCACCAGGACCCGGGAGAGAGAUGUGUGCCUGGUUUCCCCCCACAGUUCUCAGAAGGAACCUCCUGCCAGCACCCCGAUCUCAGACUUCCACCUUCCAGAACCAUGACACAGGACCCUUCCAUGUCCAGGCUACUCCGUUUGCCAUACUUUGUUAUGGCAGCCCUAGCCGGCUAGUCCAUCCUCGGGCUGGCAGAGGUUAGAAGGCUGGGGAGUCCCAUGUCUUGUGGGUGUUGGGGUGGUAUGGGGACCCUCUGGCACUGUUGUGGGGGGAAGAAACUGGUGCAGUGAAUCCUGGGUGCAAUUUGGUACUACGUAAAUUAAAGAUAUACCUAAGCGAA